UACGUAGGGGGCAAGCGUUGUCCGGAAUCAUUGGGCGUAAAGAGCGUGUAGGCGGUCCGGUAAGUCCGCUGUGAAAGUCGGGGGGCUCAACCCUCGAAUGCCGGUGGAUACUGUCGGGCUAGAGUGCGGAAGAGGCGAGUGGAAUUCUGGUGUAGCGGUGAAAUGCGCAGAUAUCAGGAGGAACACCUAUUGCGAAGGCAGCUCGCUGGGACGUUACUGACGCUGAGAACGCGAAAGCGUGGGGGAGCAAACAGG
rnacentral:rRNA from 1 species